rnacentral:rRNA from 1 species
AUUGAACGCUGGCGGCAUGCUUUACACAUGCAAGUCGAACGGCAGCGGAGGAGUGCUUGCACUUCUGCCGGCGAGUGGCGAACGGGUGAGUAAUGUAUCGGAACGUGCCCAGUAGUAGGGGACAACUACUCGAAAGAGUGGCUAAUACCGCAUGAGAACUGAGGUUGAAAGCGGGGGACCUUCGGGCCUCGCGCUACUGGAGCGGCUGAUAUCAGAUUAGGUUGUUGGUGGGGUAAAGGCUCACCAAGCCUGCGAUCUGUAGCUGGUCUGAGAGGACGACCAGCCACACUGGGACUGAGACACGGCCCAGACUCCUACGGGAGGCAGCAGUGGGGAAUUUUGGACAAUGGGGGCAACCCUGAUCCAGCAAUGCCGCGUGCAGGACGAAGGCCUUCGGGUUGUAAACUGCUUUUGUACAGAACGAAAAGCCUAGGGUUAAUACCCUUGGGUCAUGACGGUACUGUAAGAAUAAGCACCGGCUAACUACGUGCCAGCAGCCGCGGUAAUACGUAGGGUGCGAGCGUUAAUCGGAAUUACUGGGCGUAAAGCGUGCGCAGGCGGUUUUAUAAGACAGAGGUGAAAUCCCCGGGCUCAACCUGGGAACUGCCUCUGUGACUGUAAGGCUGGAGUACGGCAGAGGGGGAUGGAAUUCCGCGUGUAGCAGUGAAAUGCGUAGAUAUGCGGAGGAACACCGAUGGCGAAGGCAGUCCCCUGGGCCUGUACUGACGCUCAUGCACGAAAGCGUGGGGGAGCAAACAGGAUUAGAUACCCUGGUAGUCCACGCCCUAAACGAUGUCAACUGGUUGUUGGGAAUUUACUUUCUCAGUAACGAAGCUAACGCGUGAAGUUGACCGCCUGGGGAGUACGGUCGCAAGAUUAAAACUCAAAGGAAUUGACGGGGACCCGCACAAGCGGUGGAUGAUGUGGUUUAAUUCGAUGCAACGCGAAAAACCUUACCCACCUUUGACAUGUACGGAAGUUACCAGAGAUGGUUUCGUGCUCGCAAGAGAACCGUAACACAGGUGCUGCAUGGCUGUCGUCAGCUCGUGUCGUGAGAUGUUGGGUUAAGUCCCGCAACGAGCGCAACCCUUGCCAUUAGUUGCUACCAUUUAGUUGGGCACUCUAAUGGGACUGCCGGUGACAAGCCGGAGGAAGGUGGGGAUGACGUCAAGUCCUCAUGGCCCUUAUAGGUGGGGCUACACACGUCAUACAAUGGUCGGUACAAAGGGUUGCCAACCCGCGAGGGGGAGCUAAUCCCACAAAGCCGAUCGUAGUCCGGAUCGCAGUCUGCAACUCGACUGCGUGAAGUCGGAAUCGCUAGUAAUCGUGGAUCAGAAUGUCGCGGUGAAUACGUUCCCGGGUCU